rnacentral:rRNA from 1 species
ACGGGGCGGGAGACGCCCCAAUCCAACCACUGUGAACAAACCCGUCGGCGGCGCAAGCCGUUGGCAUUUACAACUGUCGUCAGGUGUCAUGAAAGCAAACUAAAGAGUACAACUCUCAACGAUGGAUCUCUUGGCUCUCGCAUCGAUGAAGAACGCAGCGAAUCGCGAUACGUAAUGUGAAUUGCAGAAUUCAGUGAAUCAUCGAAUCUUUGAACGCACCUUGCACCCUCUGGUAUUCCGGAGGGUAUGCCUGUCUGAGUGUCAUGUCAAUCAUCAUCCCCCCGGGUCCUGCCCGGGGGGGUUGGAAUUGGGUGUUGCCCUCCGGGGCUCGCCUCAAACGCAUUGGCGGCUUACUGCCGUGCUACUGGCGUAAUACGUUUCGUCGGCAAGCGCGGCAAGUGCCCCCUUGGAACCGCCUCGUGCCCGCACGUGGAAGCAUCGAUUGACCUCAGAUCAGGUAGGACUACCCGCUGAACUUAAGCAUAUCA